rnacentral:rRNA from 1 species
CUCCCUCAUCUUUUCCCCCUUUUUCCUCUCACACGGCUCUCUCCUUUGCACUCUGCCCGGCGACCACCGGAACGUCAGUCGCGCGCGCUGCUGCCACCUGCUGCUGCGAGGAAGAGGCGACGAAGCAUCCGCCAUCACCAUCGUAUCGCCGUCACCACCGCGUGAUGCGUCGCAGCAUCCCGUCGCCGCCGUGCAGCAUCCACCGUCGCCGUCGUGUGCUUCGUCAUAGCAACCACGUCGCCGCCGCCCUACGAUGGAGCACCACCGUGCCGGUGGUGGUGCUGCAGUGAAGCUUCUCCGAGGCCAUCGGGUGCUUCGAUGGAGCACGGCAGGGGCAGCCGGUGCUGCAACGGAGAACCAAUGCGCGGUGGUGGCGUUUGUAGUGAAGCUCCGCCGGCAGGGUGCUGCGAUGGAGCCCGCCGUGCCGGUGUGGCGCUGCAAUGAAACAUCAGCGGCGUCGCCGGGGCUGCAAUGAAGCAUUGCCGGGUUCGUUAGGCUGCAAUGGAGCGCCGCCGGAGCUGCAAUGAAGCACGUCGGAGUUGUAGUGAAGCGCGCCGGAGCUGCAGUGAAGCAUGCCAGAGGGUCGCGCCGCCGGAGUUGCAAUGAAUCGCGCCGGAGGGUCGUUGAAAUUUGGUCGGGUUGCAAUGGAGCUCCACCGGAGCUGCAGUGAAGCACGCCGGAGGGUCGUCGAACCUGGUCUGGGUUGCAAUGGAGGGCCGGCGGCGCCGCUGGUGCUGCCAUGGAAGCUGCUGCUGGGGAUACAUAUGAUGGAUUUUGCGCCUGAUGGAUGGAAGAGCAGAGAAGGAAGACUGUGUUGUGCUACGAUGGAACGGCCACCUCGUCCAGAUUGGACGGCGGGCAAGGCUUAUCCGGCUUAUUUCUAGCAGCGGCCAUAAAUAAUCUAUAAAUACAUGCUUGCCUCGUGGGCAGAAACAGGGUACGACUUCCUGGAAGCUGCAGGCUUCUUCCACAGUAGAGUGAUCAGCCGAGCAGUACGACCUUGAUCGUUGAGCAGCUGCGGAGACAAGGAGCGGAGUCGACCAUGGAGGUGAUCGCGCCGGAGAUCGAGAAGGACGAGGCCCUAGAGGGCGACAGGGAGUCGGACCCUGCGCUGGCGUCGACGCGCGAGUGGCAGCUCGAGGCCAUGCCGCGGGUGGCAGGACGAGCUGACGGUCCGCGGCAUGGUGGCGGCGCUGCUGAUCGGGUUCAUCUACACCGUCAUCGUGCUGAAGCUCGUGCUCACCACGGGGCUGCUGCCCACGAUGAACGUCUCCGCCGCGCUGCUCUCCUUCCUGCUGCUCCGCGGGUGGACGCGCCUGCUGGACCGCUUCGGCAUCGUGUCCCGCCCCUUCACGCGGCAGGAGAACACCAUCGUCCAGACCUGCGGCGUGGCCUGCUACACCAUCGCGUUCGGCGGUGGGUUCGGGUCAACCUUGCUGGGCCUGAACAAGAAGACGUACGAGCUGGCCGGAGACUCGCCGGGCAACGUGCCGGGAAGCUGGAAGGAGCCACGGAUAGGCUGGAUGACGGGAUUGCUCCUCGCUUGCUGCUUCGGGGGCCUCCUCACCUUGAUUCCCCUCAGACAGGGAUUGGUCGUCGACUACAAAUUAGUUUACCCAAGUGAGACCGCAACUGCCAUUCUUAUAAACGGCUUUCAUACUGAUCAAGGGGACAAGAAUUCAAGGAAGCAAAUCCGUGGAUUCCUGAAAUACUUUGGGGGUAGCUUUCUAUGGAGUUUCUUCCAAUGGUUCUACACCGGAGGCGAUGGUUGUGGAUUUGUUCAGUUCCCUACUUUCGGGUUGAAGGCCUGGAAGCAGACAUUCUACUUUGACUUUAGCAUGACAUACGUUGGUGCCGGGAUGAUUUGCCCACAUAUAGUAAAUAUCUCUACCCUCCUUGGUGCAAUUAUCUCAUGGGGAAUACUGUGGCCACUCAUCAGCAAAAACAAGGGGGAUUGGUACCCUGCAAAAGUACCAGAAAGCAGCAUGAGAAGUUUGUACGGUUACAAGGCCUUCAUAUGCAUAGCUCUCAUCAUGGGGGAUGGCAUGUACCACUUCAUAAAAAUUGUUGGCAUCACUACUAUGAGCAUGUAUAGACAAUUUAGCCGCAAGCAGGUUGACAACAAAGAUAAGAACAAAGGACAACAUAAAAUUCAGUGCAUCAUCAUUCAAGGAAUGAGUUUUAUCUAAUGUUGAGCAAAUGAAUUACAGCAAAAAAUGUGGAUGAUACAGUCUCACUUGAGGAGUUUCAAUGCCAAGAGAUCUUCAAGAGAGGCCACAUCCCCUCUUGGAUGGCAUAUGCCGGUUAUGUCUUGUUUAGUGUUCUUGCGGUGGUUACCAUACCAGUAAUGUUCAAACAAGUGAAGUGGUACUAUGUAGUUAUAGCCUAUGUCUUCGCCCCCAUGCUUGGAUUCGCCAAUUCCUAUGGGACCGGGCUUACCGACAUUAACAUGGGCUAUAACUAUGGCAAGAUCGCUCUCUUCGUCUUUGCCGGAUGGGCCGGCAAGGAGGAUGGUGUCAUUGCAGGCCUUGUUGCUGGAACCUUAGUCAAGCGGCUGGUGCUUAUCUCUGCCGAUUUGAUGCAAGACUUCAAGACGGGUUAUCUCACUCAGACAUCACCUAAAUCCAUGAUGAUCUCACAAGUUAUUGGGACAACCAUGGGUUGCAUUGUCUCUCCCCUCACGUUCAUGCUCUUCUACAAGGCAUUUGAUAUUGGUAACCCAGAUGGCACUUGGAAGGCACCUUAUGCACUCAUAUACCGUAAUAUGGCGAUACUUGGUGUGGAGGGCUUCUCAGUGUUGCCGAAGUAUUGCCUUGCAAUCUCUGGUGGAUUUUUCGCAUUUGCUGCAGUUUUGAGUGUAGCAAGAGAUGUCAUGCCACACAAGUAUGCGAAGUAUGUGCCUCUACCAAUGGCAAUGGCAGUUCCAUUCCUUGUAGGUGGAAGCUUUGCUAUUGAUAUGUGCAUCGGGAGUUUGAUAGUUUUUGCCUGGACCAAGAUAAACAAGAAGGAGGCUGGCUUCAUGGUGCCCGCAGUUGCAUCUGCUUUGAUAUGUGGAGAUGGCAUAUGGACGUUCCCUGCUUCCUUGCUUGCUCUUGCCAAGAUUAAACCACCAAUUUGCAUGAAGUUUCUACCUGCAGCCUAGACUACUGAAAAGUAUGCUAGGUGGCCAAAGAUGCAUUGAAUUUUCAUAGUUGUGCCUCACUGAACUAUCUUUGCAGUGUGUUGUUUCAUUUGAGAUGCUUCGGUACUCAAGUUGUCUAGAGAUGAUACUGUAGUGUGUGGUUUUACGGUAUUACAACUUGGAAGAUUUUUCCUUUUCAUUGAUAUUCUUGGGUGUUUAUAACUGUAUUUUAUAUCACAUGUGCGUAUUAAGUUAAUGUGAAUACAUGGUAUGUACUUUGUGCUUGUACAUUUUUCAGAUAACUUGAUAUUUUUGUUACUAUAUGGCCCU